rnacentral:lncRNA from 1 species
AUGGGGAGGCACAGAGAACUUCACUGUGGAAGAUGCAAACAUAGAGUUUUAGGUAAGGCUAAAAAAACAGACAGAAGUAAAGUUGAAGAUCAAAAUAGAACAAAUUUAUGGGUCUUCUGUUUGAUCUGCAGCAAGAAGAAAACACUGCUCCUCGACUACAUGAUGCACUUGGCUUCUAAACCCCAAGCUAACCAGACUAUCCUAUAUCCUCUAUUUGCUCCAUUCACCUGUAUAUCCCUUCUUGUGGGGCCAUGGAAAACCGUGGAGCAAGGGCAAGGAGUCACGAGUGGAUUUGAAUGUCAGUGCCACCUUUUUCCUAGAAAACUUCAGACUCUACUGGACGGUGAUGUUACAGUCUCAGAGUCCUGUUACCUUCAUUUAGUGGUUACAACUGGAAGGAAUAUUUACGAUAGUGGAGGACAAAGAAUGUGA